AUGGACCUUGCAGGAGGAGAGGAAUCCUCGAGGCACAUAAGUUGGCCGUCCCACGGCUACCCCGACGACGGCGGCGAGCGGCCACCCUUCAUCCUCAUCGAGCCCUACGCCUGCUUGGCCAACCGCAUCAACGCCACCACCGCCAGCACCCCAAUCCUCUACGACGCCGAGCUCGAGGGCUGCAGCAUCCAGGUCACCUUCUGCGCCGUCUCUCACCUGUGCGCCCAUGUCGUAGGCUUGGGCGACCCCCUGUUCCGCCACCCGCCUCGCAUCCUCGCCACCGAGACGGACGGCAGCCUCCUCCUGCUAUGCGUCCCCAUCCCCAUCCGCGGCGACCCGUUCCCGCCCUAUGCCUAUGUCCCCAUCACCCGAGAAGAGUACUUCGUCUACAACCCCCGCGUCCCUGCGCUGGAGCACCUUCGGCCCCCGGAACCAGGCAGCAUCCCCUGCUUGAUUGACGGCACGGUUGCCAUCGUGCGCAAGUGCAGCCAACGCCAACGACCCCAUGGAGCCGGCGGCCACAAGCUCGCCCAUGGAGUCGGCUGGUUUGUGCCACGACUACGAUACAAGCAGGAUCUCCAAAUAUCUCAAAGUUGCUCCACGUAA
rnacentral:rRNA from 1 species